CGAACGGGUGAGUAACGCGUGGGGAACCUGCCUCAAAGAGGGGGACAACAGUUGGAAACGACUGCUAAUACCGCAUAAGCCCACGGCUCGGCAUCGAGCAGAGGGAAAAGGAGCAAUCCGCUUUGAGAUGGCCUCGCGUCCGAUUAGCUAGUUGGUGAGGUAAUGGCCCACCAAGGCGACGAUCGGUAGCCGGACUGAGAGGUUGAACGGCCACAUUGGGACUGAGACACGGCCCAA
rnacentral:rRNA from 1 species